ACACGUAGGGCGCAAGCGUUGUCCGGAUUUAUUGGGCGUAAAGGGCUCGUAGGCGGUUUCGUAAGUCGGGUGUGAAAACUCAGGGCUCAACCCUGAGACGCCACUCGAUACUGCGAUGACUUGAGUCCGGUAGGGGAGCAGGGAAUUCCUGGUGUAGCGGUGAAAUGCGCAGAUAUCAGGAGGAACACCAUUAGCGAAGGCGCUGCUCUGGGCCGGUACUGACGCUGAGGAGCGAAAGCAUGGGGAGCAAACAGAAUUAGAAACCCUAGUAGUCC
rnacentral:rRNA from 1 species